rnacentral:rRNA from 1 species
AUUGAACGCUGGCGGCAGGCCUAACACAUGCAAGUCGAGCGGAUGAAUGGGGCUUGCUCCUGGAUUCAGCGGCGGACGGGUGAGUCAUGCCUAGGAAUCUGCCUGGUCGUGGGGGAUAACGUCCGGAAACGGGCGCUAAUCCCGCAUACGUCCUGAGGGAGAAAGUGGGGGAUCUUCGGACCUCACGGUAUCUGAUGAGCCUAGGUCGGAUUAGCGAGUUGGUGGGGUAAAGGCCUACCAAGGCGACGAUCCGUAACUGGUCUGAGAGGAUGACCAGUCACACUGGAACUGAGACACGGUCCAGACUCCUACGGGAGGCAGCAGUGGGGAAUAUUGCACAAUGGGCGAAAGCCUGAUCCAGCCAUGCCGCGUGUGUGAAGAAGGUCUUCGGAUGGUAAAGCACUGUAAGUUGGGAGGAAGGGAAGUAAGUUUAUACCUGGCUGUUUUGACGGUACCAACAGAAUAAGCACCGGCUAACUUCGUG